UAAGGGCGCACGGUGGAUGCCUUGGCACUAGAAGCCGAUGAAGGACGUUACUAACGACGAUAUGCUUUGGGGAGCUGUAAGUAAGCUUUGAUCCAGAGAUUUCCGAAUGGGGAAACCCAGCAUGAGUUAUGUCAUGUUAUCGAUAUGUGAAUACAUAGCAUAUCAGAAGGCACACCCGGAGAACUGAAACAUCUUAGUACCCGGAGGAAGAGAAAGAAAAUUCGAUUCCCUUAGUAGCGGCGAGCGAAACGGGAAGAGCCCAAACCAACAAGCUUGCUUGUUGGGGUUGUAGGACACUCUAUACGGAGUUACAAAGGACGACAUUAGACGAAUCAUCUGGAAAGAUGAAUCAAAGAAGGUAAUAAUCCUGUAGUCGAAAAUGUUGUCUCUCUUGAGUGGAUCCUGAGUACGACGGAGCACGUGAAAUUCCGUCGGAAUCUGGGAGGACCAUCUCCUAAGGCUAAAUACUCUCUAGUGACCGAUAGUGAACCAGUACCGUGAGGGAAAGGUGAAAAGCACCCCGGAAGGGGAGUGAAAUAGAACCUGAAACCGUGUGUUUACAAGUAGUCAGAGCCCGUUAAUGGGUGAUGGCGUGCCUUUUGUAGAAUGAACCGGCGAGUUACGAUUUGAUGCAAGGUUAAGCAGUAAAUGUGGAGCCGUAGCGAAAGCGAGUCUGAAUAGGGCGUUUAGUAUUUGGUCGUAGACCCGAAACCAGGUGAUCUACCCUUGGUCAGGUUGAAGUUCAGGUAACACUGAAUGGAGGACCGAACCGACUUACGUUGAAAAGUGAGCGGAUGAACUGAGGGUAGCGGAGAAAUUCCAAUCGAACCUGGAGAUAGCUGGUUCUCUCCGAAAUAGCUUUAGGGCUAGCCUCAAGUGAUGAUUAUUGGAGGUAGAGCACUGUUUGGACGAGGGGCCCCUCUCGGGUUACCGAAUUCAGACAAACUCCGAAUGCCAAUUAAUUUAACUUGGGAGUCAGAACAUGGGUGAUAAGGUCCGUGUUCGAAAGGGAAACAGCCCAGACCACCAGCUAAGGUCCCAAAAUAUAUGUUAAGUGGAAAAGGAUGUGGCGUUGCCCAGACAACUAGGAUGUUGGCUUAGAAGCAGCCAUCAUUUAAAGAGUGCGUAAUAGCUCACUAGUCGAGUGACACUGCGCCGAAAAUGUACCGGGGCUAAACAUAUUACCGAAGCUGUGGAUUGUCCUUUGGACAAUGGUAGGAGAGCGUUCUAAGGGCGUUGAAGCAUGAUCGUAAGGACAUGUGGAGCGCUUAGAAGUGAGAAUGCCGGUGUGAGUAGCGAAAGACGGGUGAGAAUCCCGUCCACCGAUUGACUAAGGUUUCCAGAGGAAGGCUCGUCCGCUCUGGGUUAGUCGGGUCCUAAGCUGAGGCCGACAGGCGUAGGCGAUGGAUAACAGGUUGAUAUUCCUGUACCACCUAUAAUCGUUUUAAUCGAUGGGGGGACGCAGUAGGAUAGGCGAAGCGUGCGAUUGGAUUGCACGUCUAAGCAGUAAGGCUGAGUAUUAGGCAAAUCCGGUACUCGUUAAGGCUGAGCUGUGAUGGGGAGAAGACAUUGUGUCUUCGAGUCGUUGAUUUCACACUGCCGAGAAAAGCCUCUAGAUAGAAAAUAGGUGCCCGUACCGCAAACCGACACAGGUAGUUAAGAUGAGAAUUCUAAGGUGAGCGAGCGAACUCUCGUUAAGGAACUCGGCAAAAUGACCCCGUAACUUCGGGAGAAGGGGUGCUCUUUAGGGUUAACGCCCAGAAGAGCCGCAGUGAAUAGGCCCAAGCGACUGUUUAUCAAAAACACAGGUCUCUGCUAAACCGUAAGGUGAUGUAUAGGGGCUGACGCCUGCCCGGUGCUGGAAGGUUAAGAGGAGUGGUUAGCUUCUGCGAAGCUACGAAUCGAAGCCCCAGUAAACGGCGGCCGUAACUAUAACGGUCCUAAGGUAGCGAAAUUCCUUGUCGGGUAAGUUCCGACCCGCACGAAAGGCGUAACGAUUUGGGCACUGUCUCAACGAGAGACUCGGUGAAAUCAUAGUACCUGUGAAGAUGCAGGUUACCCGCGACAGGACGGAAAGACCCCGUGGAGCUUUACUGUAGCCUGAUAUUGAAAUUCGGCACAGCUUGUACAGGAUAGGUAGGAGCCUUUGAAACGUGAGCGCUAGCUUACGUGGAGGCGCUGGUGGGAUACUACCCUAGCUGUGUUGGCUUUCUAACCCGCACCACUUAUCGUGGUGGGAGACAGUGUCAGGCGGGCAGUUUGACUGGGGCGGUCGCCUCCUAAAAGGUAACGGAGGCGCUCAAAGGUUCCCUCAGAAUGGUUGGAAAUCAUUCAUAGAGUGUAAAGGCAUAAGGGAGCUUGACUGCGAGACCUACAAGUCGAGCAGGGUCGAAAGACGGACUUAGUGAUCCGGUGGUUCCGCAUGGAAGGGCCAUCGCUCAACGGAUAAAAGCUACCCCGGGGAUAACAGGCUUAUCUCCCCCAAGAGUUCACAUCGACGGGGAGGUUUGGCACCUCGAUGUCGGCUCAUCGCAUCCUGGGGCUGUAGUCGGUCCCAAGGGUUGGGCUGUUCGCCCAUUAAAGCGGUACGCGAGCUGGGUUCAGAACGUCGUGAGACAGUUCGGUCCCUAUCCGUCGUGGGCGUAGGAAAUUUGAGAGGAGCUGUCCUUAGUACGAGAGGACCGGGAUGGACAUACCUCUGGUGUACCAGUUGUCGUGCCAACGGCAUAGCUGGGUAGCUAUGUGUGGACGGGAUAAGUGCUGAAAGCAUCUAAGCAUGAAGCCCCCCUCAAGAUGAGAUUUCCCAACUUCGGUUAUAAGAUCCCU
rnacentral:rRNA from 1 species